rnacentral:snRNA from 1 species
UUGCCUUAAACUAAUGAGUAAGGAAAACAAAGCGGGCGGUGAGAGCCGGCCGCAGCGCUUAUCAAUUAACACUUCGGUGUCUAAUUUGGCGCAAGAAUUUAUGGAGGGGUUAUAGGCUGGCCAAGUGUUGACGCUGCCUACUUUGCAGAACUCACUUGUGCGGGCCUCCC